rnacentral:tRNA from 1 species
GUGGCUGUGGCUGAGUGGUAGAGUGCUCGUCUCGUACAUGUGAGGCAACUGGGUUCCAUCCUCAGCACCACA